GAGGUGGGAGGAUCACCUGAGUCUGGGAGGUCGAGGCUGCUGUGAGCUGUGAUCAUGCCACUGCACUCCAGCCUGAGUGACAGAGUGAGACCCUGUCUCA
rnacentral:miRNA from 1 species